AAGUCGGUGAGGUAACCUUCAUGGAGCCAGCCGCCUAAGGUGGGACAGAUGAUUGGGGUGAAGUCGUAACAAGGUAGCCGUAUCGGAAGGUGCGGCUGGAUCACCUCCUUUCUAAGGAUAAUUACGAGAGCGCUUUUGUUUUGUUCAGUUUUGAAUGAGUAAUUCAUUCAAAUAGGAAAGACGAACAUCACGAUGUGAUGGAUUCUUUCUGCUUUGUUCCUUGAAAACUAGAUAAUAGAUAGAAGGCAAUUAAUUUUUUUCAAAGCAUCUGUAAGAUCUUUUUUAACGGUUAAGUUAGAAAGGGCGCACGGUGGAUGCCU
rnacentral:misc_RNA from 1 species